rnacentral:lncRNA from 10 species
CUGAGACUUUUCUCAGAAAGCAACUCUGGGUCUAUUAAAAUGCUGCAAAACCAGAAAGGAUGAUGAUUUGUCAUGUAAAAAUGUAAGGGCAGCAAUUAGGAGAGUAGAGGCUCAUCAACUGAGUUCUUUCCAGAGAGGGACCUUGUAAGGCUGACUUUGGAAUAUGACUGCAUUCUGAUGGAGAGAUUUCCAGUUUAAGAUGCCAUACUGAACAUAUACACUGAUCUCUUUGCCUUUGGAAACUCCAUUAAGCUGAUUGUAAAGGAGGAAAAGGAUUCUCACAUGACAAUGAAGAGACUGAAGAAGUAUCAUCAAUGGAUAAAGCAGAAUAGAAAUAGCAGCCGCCUGGACCAUACCUAGAAAGGAAUCAUUUUGCCUGGCAGAAGCAUGAAACAGUUCCAUAUUUGAGAUGGCAUUUACCACUGAGGGAAAAAAAAAGUAUCAUGUGAAAGAAGCAAGAAUUGGACUGACCACACACUUGUCAUUGCCAAUCAGAUGCUGCAAAACAAUGGAUCUGUUUUUCAGAGUUCUGAAAUAAAAUGCUAAUCAAACUAGAAUCUGCUUAGCUAAGACACUGCCAAAUAUGAAGACCAAAUAAAAGAUUUUCAGAUGUGUCAUAAUUCAGAGUUUAUACUCCAAGCAUUCUUUUGUAGAAAGGAACUCAAGGGUGUAUUUCAGCAAAAUAAAGAAGUAAAGUACUAGAGCCAUCACUCAGAGAGCAAAUGACCAGACCAGAUGCUAACAACAAACAUUGUGUGACUUCCUAUCUCCAGCCACUUCUGAAGUCAGAUCUAUUUUCUUGAGAGAGGGAACACUGUGAACUAAGGUUGCUCAAAGUCACCCACUGGUUGAAGGUCUUUCUUUUUUUUUUUUUUUGAGGCGGAGUCUCCUUCUUUCACCCAGGCUGGAAUGCAGUGGCACGAUUUCGGCUCACCACCACCUCUGCCUCCUGGGUUCAAGCAAUUCUUCUGCCUCAGCCUCCUGAUUAGCUGGGUUUACAGGUGCCUGCUACCACUAAUUUUUGUAUUUUAGUAGAGAUGGCUUUUCACCAUGUUGGCCAGCUGGUGUUGAACUCCCGACCUCAAGUGAUCCAUCCGUCUCGGCCUCCCAAAGUGUUGGGAUUACAGGCGUAAGCCACUGGGUCUGGCCGAAGGUCUUAUGGAGACUAAAACUCAGGCAUUCUAACUCACAGGCUGAUGUCUAACAUAUUCUGUAAGUGACCCUAAAAUAUGGGUAUUGAACUGUUCAGUAACAAUCAGCUGAAACGCUACAAUAAUCAUCGCUAUUUUUUGAAUGAAACAUAUGCACCA